rnacentral:lncRNA from 1 species
ACCUGCUGGUGGCUGAAUCUGCAAUGGAACAUUGGACUGAUUGAUGCUGUGAGGAUGGAAUGUUUGUAAAACUGUGAGUGAAAUACACUAUGGCCCCUGCAAGCAGGGCGAGCGAGGCUUUCCAAGUUUCUGAACUGUUUUACUUACAGAGUCUGUCUCAGUUUGACUCAGAAGUAGCUGCUAGAAAUGGAACUGUGUUUGUUGUGUGUAGUUUGCUGGAAAGUUCCCAUCUUGAGAAAGUGGUGGCCUGCUAUUGGCUACUGAGCCUGGUGAUUUUCCUGGAGCAGACGAAUUUCAGUGUGUUUCCUCUUAGAGCAAAGUCCUGGGAAUGGAGGCAAGCUGUGUUGUUCUAAAGAAGCAGAGGAACCAUUUGUUACAAUUAGAUUAUUUUAACACAACAGUGAAUAUAUUGUUCUGCUGCAAAGAGCAGCUGUGGCCAGGUAUUUGCUUUUUCAAUUAGCUCAUGAUUUUCACUAUUAUGUUUGGACUCACUUUCUGUUAGAGGAGGAUAUUUGGAAUUGCUGUGUGGCCUUUUACUUCUACUAUAAUGAGACUAAUUCGUUCUGGUUUGUAUUCACCACUUGAGAUUAUUAAUUAUAGUAAAGGUCUCUUAUUUUUCAGGGUUUCUGGUUUGCACCUUUGCUACUUUAUUUCACAAAAUUGAUUUCUUCCAUUGGUUUUCGUUUUAUCUCUUCCUUAUCCUUAAGAUUGGAGUUAUUAAUCAUUUAGAAAUAAAAAUAUUAAUUCUACAGUAAUUUCUCUCUUGGUUAAACAUUCUAACAACCUUUUGAUUCUUUAAAUUUUUUGAUUAAAAAAUUAGUGUGUGUGUUGUGUGUGUGUUAAGUAUGUAUUCCUGGUCUCAUGAAGG